rnacentral:rRNA from 1 species
UACGAAGGGGGCUAGCGUUGCUCGGAAUCACUGGGCGUAAAGGGCGCGUAGGCGGCCUGAUCAGUCGGGGGUGAAAGCCUGUGGCUCAACCACAGAAUGGCCUUCGAUACUGUCGGGCUUGAGACCGGAAGAGGUAAGUGGAACUGCGAGUGUAGAGGUGAAAUUCGUAGAUAUUCGCAAGAACACCAGUGGCGAAGGCGGCUUACUGGUCCGGAUCUGACGCUGAGGCGCGAAAAGCGUGGGGAGCAAACAGG